ensembl:lincRNA Gm15232 predicted gene 15232
AGAAGGGGGAUCAGAGAGCAGACAGAACCACACAUAUGGCUUUUAACCGACUGUAUCUUUCUUCCUGACAGAGAAAGGAAGAAGAGGGAGCUGCAGAACAUGUGUAACAGAGACAGCAAUGUACAGCAGCGGAACUUAGAGACAGCCUCAAGCUAAUGAAAGAGGGCACUAGAAUCUGGAAAAAACCAAGGCACAGAUGUUCUCUUAGAGCUUCCUGGGUACACAUGGGCCAAGCCACACUGUGAUUUGGUCCCAGAGAUAUUGAUCUCAAAAUCCUUGUUCCUAGAACUGGGAGAGAAUAAUCUUCCAUUGCAUAGAAAUCAUUAGUCAGUGGUCAUUUGUUACAGCAGCCCCAGGAGACUAAUUUGCCUUGAUAAUUUACCCUAGAGGCCCCAAUUGAUCCGUUGCCAUUGAAGGGCAAACACUUUGCUGCAGACACGUCCAGAGAAAGUUUGGAGGUAUGUUGGAGGGUUCUUUUUGGCAUCUGUCUGUUGGGGACAAAUUUUCUCAUUGGCCUGAAACCUCACCACUUAGUCUCAUAGAUCUUGAAGUGCUCAUGCAGUCAAGCAAGAAGAAGAAGACCCAAUGGGCGUGAGGUCUGAUUUUCAACAUGAAAACCCAAAGCAUUCUUUUAUAACUUUUUUUGAUCACUGUGUAAAUAGUUCAGACGAACUCUUUUUUGAAAGGGCAAUGUUGUGCACAGUUGUUUUUAUUUGAUUAAGCUUCAGGACUAAUUUGUAAAGUGCUGUAGGAUAGACUUGUCAAGCUCAAGCCAAGCAAAGAUCAUUCAGUCUCCACCCCCUCUCACAUUACUCUGAAAGAACAUGUUUUUAGGACACAGUCAUCCCCCUCUCCCCUUUCCUUCAACUCUGAUGUAUUAUGGCAUAUCACAGAAUUAAACAGUAUAGGGAUGGGUAAAAGGAUGACAGGGACAGCAAACACAUCCAAGUUUAUGGAGCUAAGAUUCACCAGUUCAUCUCAACCCAAUCUUUUGAUACUGAAACUAGAAAGAGACUUUUUAGAGCAGGGGUGGUUAGAUGGUAGAUGCCUAACUAACAUGCUAGAGGCCUCGAGUUUCCACCUCAGGGUUAAAAACACAUUUCACGGUCAAAAAGAAAGAGAUGGUGGUGGAACAAGGCAAAUUUCACUCUUGAUCAAUAGGUUGUGCUCAGAGGAAUGAACACACAGAGACAGGAAGUACACUUGGUUUUAUUCUAACACAGGUGGUAUCUGUGUCAUUUCCUCCUUGGCUGAGGUCUGACCUCCGAGCCUUAUUUGAUUGGCUAGUCUGAAAAGAAUUUGUGCAGAGGAAAUGAAGGCGGGAGGGGGAAGGGGCUGUUGCUCUAAGGGGAAAAGGGUCACUGCUUCAGGCCACCAAAUUCCUGGAAUGUAGCUGGGAGAUUUCAUAUGAACAAAGAUUUUGCUGGACAGGAGGGGGAUUAAAACUUUUACAUAAAAGUCAUACAAGGUACAGAAGACUAAAAAUAUAUAUAUUUGAAUUCCUUGUCUUAAAACACAAACUUUAUACUAUUUGAUUAGAAAAGGCUCAUACCUAGUAUUUCUUAUACUAGCACCAUCAAAACAAACUGAACAUCCAAAUAUCAAAUGGAGUGCACGUCCUUGUUACACCCAAGUGAGAUGCUAUUAGAAGUCAAAGCUGAUUGUACAGCGAUUCAGUGACCUCAGAAGAAACAGAGCUGUAUAUAGACGCAUGACUCUCCUGUUAUUUCUGAAGGCUUCAUUUACACAGUAAGGAUGCAGAUAAUGCAAAUUAGUCAUGGCAUUGAUGGGGUGUCUACCGUUUUCCAGACCCCUUGUUGGGUACUGGGUAUGUAGCACCUCAUGAAACUUCCAAAUUUGUACGGGGUAGAAAGCUGAGGCUUUAAGUAAAAAGCUGAAAAGAUAGAUAUGGAAGUCACCAGGCAAGGUGAUGAGGGGUUUGGAAUGGAUUAACAGCCUAGUUGGCAGAGUGCUUGCUUGGCAUGUGUGAAUCCCUGGGUUUGAUCCCUAUGACAGGAUCAAACUGCAUGUGGUGCUUCCCUUGGGAACAGAGAAGAGGAUUAGAAGUUCAUGGCUGAUGUUGGUUAUAUAUGGAAUUUGAAGCCAGCCUGAGAUUCCUGAGACCUGACAAUGAAUGAAUACAUCAAUAAAUUAAUAAAUAAGAAAGAUACAUGAAGCAAUAAUACAGUUCUUGGGAGGCUGAGUGAAAAUAACAAGUUCCAGGCCAGCCUGGGCUACAUAGGGAAACCAUGUC